GUGAGGAAUAUUGGUCAAUGGGCGGGAGCCUGAACCAGCCAAGUCGCGUGAAGGAUGAAGGUUUUAUGAAUUGUAAACUUCUUUUGCAGGGGAAUAAAGUACGGUACGUGUACCGUUUUGUAUGUACUCUGCGAAUAAGGAUCGGCUAACUCCGUGCCAGCAGCCGCGGUAAUACGGAGGAUCCAAGCGUUAUCCGGAUUUAUUGGGUUUAAAGGGUGCGUAGGUGGUUUGAUAAGUCAGCGGUGAAAGUUUGCAGCUUAACUGUAAAAUUGCCGUUGAAACUGUCGGACUUGAGUGUAAAUGAGGUAGGCGGAAUGCGUGGUGUAGCGGUGAAAUGCAUAGAUAUCACGCAGAACUCCGAUUGCGAAGGCAGCUUACUAAGCUACAACUGACACUGAAGCACGAAAGCGUGGGGAUCAAACAGGAUUAGAUACCCCAGUAGUCC
rnacentral:rRNA from 1 species